rnacentral:misc_RNA from 1 species
AUAUAUAUAUCAAACCUUCUCUUUGUUGAGUGGUUUUGGAUGUGGGGGUUUGCUGGCCUCUUAAAAAGGUUCAGCUCCUCUGAAAUGCAUUAGCAGAACAAACCUGUUCAUUGGUGUGAUAACUAUCUACGCUAUUGAAUGUAAGGGGCAGUUCAGCUCUCUAAUGGUCCUCGGACAAUUCAUCAUUA